ACGGAGGGUGCAAGCGUUAUCCGGAAUCACUGGGUUUAAAGGGUGCGUAGGCGGCAUUAUAAGUCAGAGGUGAAAGCCCGGCGCUCAACGUCGGAACUGCCUUUGAUACUGUGAUGCUUGAAUCAGGUUGAGGUUAGCGGAAUGUGACAUGUAGCGGUGAAAUGCAUAGAUAUGUCAUAGAACACCAAUUGCGAAGGCAGCUAACUGGAUCUGUAUUGACGCUGAGGCACGAAAGCGUGGGGAGCGAACAGG
rnacentral:rRNA from 1 species